rnacentral:rRNA from 1 species
AUUGAACGCUGGCGGCAGGCCUAACACAUGCAAGUCGAGCGAGCGGCGGACGGGCGAGUAAUGUAUGGGGACUGCCUGAUAGCGGGGGAUAACUACUGGAAACGGUGGCUAAUACCGCCUACUGUCGGAUACCCCACAUGGGAUUAGCUAGUAGGUAAGGUAAUGGCUUACCUAGGCGACGAUCCCUAGCUGGUCUGAGAGGAUGAUCAGCCACACUGGGACUGAGACACGGCCCAGACUCCUACGGAGGCAGCAGGGGGGAAUAUUGCACAGUGGGUGCAAGCCUGAUGCAGCCAUUCCGCGUGUAUGAAGAAGGCCCUAGGGUUGUAAAGUACUUUCAGUCGGGAGGCGUUACCGACAGAAGAAGCACCGGCUAACUCCGUGCCAGCAGCCGCGGUAAUAC